rnacentral:rRNA from 1 species
AGCGAACGCUGGCGGCAGGCUUAACACAUGCAAGUCGAGCGGGCCCUUCGGGGUCAGCGGCAGACGGGUGAGUAACACGUGGGAACGUGCCCCUCGGUUCGGAAUAACUCAGGGAAACUUGAGCUAAUACCGGAUACGCCCUUAUGGGGAAAGGUUUACUGCCGAAGGAUCGGCCCGCGUCUGAUUAGCUAGUUGGUGGGGUAAUGGCCCACCAAGGCGACGAUCAGUAGCUGGUCUGAGAGGAUGAUCAGCCACACUGGGACUGAGACACGGCCCAGACUCCUACGGGAGGCAGCAGUGGGGAAUAUUGGACAAUGGGCGGCAAGCCUGAUCCAGCCAUGCCGCGUGUGUGAUGAAGGCCUUAGGGUUGUAAAGCACUUUCGACGGGGACGGAUAAUGACGGUACCCGUAGAAGAAGCCCCGGCUAACUUCGU